UACGAAGGGGGCUAGCGUUGCUCGGAAUGACUGGGCGUAAAGGGCGCGUAGGCGGAUGGCACAGUCAGAUGUGAAAUUCCCGGGCUUAACCUGGGGCUGCAUUUGAUACGUGUUGUCUAGAGUGAGGAAGAGGGUCGUGAAGAUUCCCAGUGUAGAGGUGAAAUUCGUAGAUAUUCGCAAGAACACCAGUGGCGAAGGCGGCUCACUGGCCCGAUACUGACGCUGAGGCACGAAAGCGUGGGGAGCAAACAGG
rnacentral:rRNA from 1 species